rnacentral:lncRNA from 1 species
UUUUUUUUUUGUUGGUAGCGAAACCAGUUACAACAUGCCUCGAAACACAAGGCACAAUUGGCCUGUUGAAAACCGGGUGAAAUCCGUUACACCAGACACAAUUGGCCGGCCUGUCUACCCACAUGCACUAUCGAGAGGAAGGCCACCGUCGAGGUUGUCCGCAAGAGCUAUAUUCAUCGCUUUUUCCUGACCAAACAACACCGACUUCGUCACAUUGAAGCACCAACGAGCCACCAGGUGGCCACUGAAAUAGCUGCCCAAAGCCCACGUCGGCCUAUGCCAAACAACCGGCCACACUCACAAAUAGCUGCCCAAUUUAGCGAAGUUCGCUUUAUCAUUGGGCCUGGCCGCUGUGCUUGGUUAGGACAGCCACAUGGUCUUCCGUUCGUCUCUGCCACAAUGGUGACGGUUGAAUAAAAACUUAGCGAGAUUGCCUAAAAAAAUAAAAACUCGCAAGUGGCAAGGCCACUCCGAUUUUGAAAACGCGCAAAUGAGAGAUGUGUAAGGACUGUGCCGCAGAGGAUUCCCUCAACCAGAUGCCCAUCGCAUGUUAUCGUCGUUGCUCGUACCCCGCCACAACAGCUCAAUGUAGUCAGUCGUUGCUAUAUGAGACAUCAUGCCAGACCCAUCCUCCCAACACAUUUACUGGUCCCUUCAGCCGGAUCGAACUCCAAAAUUGAUGCCCUCAAGAGGGGAACAGGUGGGUCUAGGGUUUCCCUUGGAGUUGUCUCAAGAAGAGGAAGAAAGAGCACCCUGUCGACGCCUUCAAGAAGGUCACAACAUCCAUGGGCACAUGCUUCAACCAAUGUAAGAGACUGAUCUUCACCCGACUUUACCUCAGCUUGCUCAGUGUGAAUCAUGUCGGAUCACCUGCCCAAGUUUUCCGAAAGACUCCAAUCCUCCAAAAAUCGUAUGAAAUUCCUUUGAAUCAAAGGAGUGUAUAUAAAAUUUUAGCAUUCUCUCAAAUCUCUUAUAAGGAAUCCUAUUUUUGUGCUAUCCGUAUGUUUUUGGAAUCUAGGCCCGAAAAGCGGUUUGGACCUUCUGCUGGCAUGUAAAGCUCUAAUUCUGCUGUAAUUGGCCUGGUUUGCCUCUGGUAAGGGCCUCUUUGAUUCACAGAGGAAUAGAAUAUCAUGUUUUCUUGUAUCCUACAAGAACUCGAUUUUGGAUGAAAGUGCGUUUGAUAGCACAGGAAAAACCAAAAAAAAAAUAUCAAAAGGUUUGGGUGGAUGAAAUUUUCCUUCAAAACAUAGUACAAAUGAGUCGUAUGAAAUAAAUUAGUACGGAUUCCAAUCCUGCGAAUCAAAGAGUCACCAUAGAAAAAAAAAACCUAAGGAUCCAAAUCCUUCAAAAAUCCUACAAAACUCCUUUGAAUCAAAGGAGUCCGCGAUGUUGUGUUGAAUCAAAAUUUGUAUGGUUAAGUGACAUGAAGUUGGUUAGUAUCAUCCGCAUGGGUGAACCAGAUGCCUAUAAGAAAAGCGCUGUGGCAUGCAGGCAGCAGGAGGGGCAAAAUGCAUUCGUCUCAAGAGCGAUCUUAGCACAUGGGAGUUGGUGAAGGACUAAAAGCAACUCUUCUCAAGAGUCUGAUACAGCUAGUUCAGGACAAACUACACCUGGAGGAGUUAUGUCUCCCCCAAAUACCCAGAUUAUAUGGAACCGAAUGACAGCCACGACGAGGCUAAUCAUCAUAAAUAUACAGACAACAACAACAACCAUGCUAAACCACAACUGAAUCUAUUCUCAGGAAAAAGCAAUUUACAUCUGGGAAGCAGCCUUUGAGCAUCAGUUCUGGCAGACCCAACAACACGAGACUAAUGGGGGUACUAAGAGUUUUCUUUAACUGCUUAGUGCUCUCCACAUGACGAAAACCCGCCUACAUAUUAGAAAUGCA